rnacentral:rRNA from 1 species
UACGUAGGGUGCAAGCGUUAUCCGGAAUUAUUGGGCGUAAAGAGCUCGUAGGCGGUUUGUCGCGUCUGGUGUGAAAACUCAAGGCUCAACCUUGAGCUUGCAUCGGGUACGGGCAGACUAGAGUGUGGUAGGGGUGACUGGAAGUUCCUGGUGUAGCGGUGGAAUGCGCAGAUAUCGAGGAGGAACACCAACGGCGAAAGCACUCUGCUGGGCCGACACUGACACUGAGAGACGAAAGCUAGGGGAGCGAAUGGG